AGAUAAGUAAGCUAUUUAAGCUGUUGGGCUCAUACCUCAAAAAAAUCCUGUUUGGUUCUUAUUUA
rnacentral:tRNA from 1 species